rnacentral:rRNA from 1 species
UACGUAGGCAGCGAGCGUUGUUCGGAUUUACUGGGCGUAAAGAGCGCGUAGGCGGUUUUCUAAGUUUGGUGUGAAAUCUCCCGGCUUAACUGGGAGGGUGCGCCGAAGACUGGAAGGCUUGAGUAUGGGAGAGGUAAGCGGAAUUCCUGGUGUAGCGGUGAAAUGCGUAGAUAUCAGGAGGAACACCUGCGGUGUAGACGGCUUACUGGACCAUCACUGACGCUGAGGCACGAAAGCGUGGGUAGCAAACAGG